rnacentral:rRNA from 1 species
UUCUAUAAGAAAUACUUAAUAGUAUAAUCUGCUCAAUGAACAAUUCAAUAGCCGCAAAUAUUUGUGCUAAGGUAGCAUAAUCAUUCGUUUUUUAAUUGAAAACUAGAACAAAAGAUUAAACAUUUUAAUUACUUUCUUUAAUUUAAACAAUUCAAAUUUCUAAAAAUGUAAUAAAACAUUUAUUAAAAAGAAAGACGACAAGACCCUAUUGAACUUAACUCAAGUUAAACUGGGGCAGUAAUUAAAUUAAUACUUUCAUUAAAGUAUUUUAACUAAAGACCCAUAUAUUAUGACUAUAUAAUCAAGUUACCAUAGGGAUAACAGCGUAAUAUUUAUUUCAAGUUCUUAUAUAAAUAAAAGAUUGCGACCUCGAUGUUGAAUAAUAACCUUCAUUCUUCUCAACGCAAAAGUUAUGCUAGGAAGUCUGUUCGACUCUUAAACAAUUACA